rnacentral:tmRNA from 1 species
GGGGAUGACUGGCUUCGAUGGGGUGACGGGUGCGCGGUAGGUCGAAGGCGCAUUGACUCAAAACCGAAACGCACAGCAACAACCGUCACGGCUCAGACCAGGGUUCGAUUCCCUGCAUCUCCACCU